rnacentral:lncRNA from 8 species
GGACAGGAGAAACUGUAUCUAGGCCAACCUGCAUCUCCACCAGUAUUUGAGUGGAGGAUACUGUCUGCAAUGGAAAAAAGGUCAACACGGUGCAACAGUCCACUCCCAUUAUGGAAAUGCAUCCCAAAAUUCUCCAAAAUCCACCAUAUCCCAAGUCUCAUCUUAAAGGUUUUGUCAAGGACAAGCAAGCAGACCACGAACAAUUAAACUCUAAACCGGACACACAAAGAUCCCACAUCUACACAGGUCUAUUUUAAAAGCCUCCUACUCCCUAGCAGAAACAGCAGAAGAGAUGUUGGACACAUCAGUGUGGUAGUAGACCGAGGGUGAAGUCAAACAUCACACGCUACACGAUCUCACUGCAUUGACACAAUGGGCCGGCGACACCUCCAUUUGCCAAGGCUUCGCCUGCUGGUCCCUCAGCUUCGACAGGGGUGUUGACUCACAGCUGAUAUGAAUGAGGUGGAAAGCCCCCACACAAUACAGUGAUUCUAUGCUAACGGCCGUGGAUUGAACCUGUGACUCAUGCCAGCGCUACAUUAAAGAAAGCACAGAGGGGGUGUCUGGCCAUGAUCGGGUCUCGCUAAACGUCACCCAGAAUUCCCGUGGGAUGUGCUUUGGGCUUAGAGUCUCAGAACAGGCAGCGGAGGCUGAUUUCUGAAUGGAUUUACAAUUUCAAAUCAGGACAUUACAUGGCCAAGAUGAACAUGUCGGACCAGCAACACAGCACAUACUCAGGCGCAGUGUAAACACAUUAUCAAUAUGGCUGGAAAUGGCAGCAGGGUUCUCCAGUGUUUGCAGAGCAAAAGACAGGCUGCUGAACAUCUCUUCCAUGCUUCAGGGAGUGUGACAUAAUCUGUGUGGAUGGACUAAUUGACUACUUGAUUGAGUUCCCUGAAACAAUUGAUCCAGCCUAGCAGCAAGUCAACACCUGACUCCGGACUUCGUUUUCCCCGUUGUAGACAGAAUCCAUGAGGGCCUAAACAUCUCUCUGCAUUGUGCCACUCAGGAUUAGAGGAGAUGGAUGGACAUUGAAAAUAGAGAGGGUCUGGAAUUCUCCCCUGGAGGACUCAGUCAUGCUGAACGCUGACAUCUGAACGCAGCAGGGGGACUGCAUGCCUACUGCCUUGACUUCAGUACUUCCUGCAGUCAAACGACCAAAUCGCCCUCUAGUGGCCUCAUGGGUGGAAUGUUAUUCAUAAUUUCCUAAUUAAUAAAUAUUUUUUUAUCCGGUGUUUUUAUGUGAAACGGUUUUGUUAUUUCAUUCAUCUAUGAUGUAUAUCAAAUGUAAUAUUGGGAUGCAAACUCAAAAUUGAAUACAUUUCAACUCUAUAUCUGACAUGGUACAGGUGUCUUUUAUUUAAGGCCAUAACCAUGUGUGUGAGGUGUAUACUUUUGAUCAAAGUAGAUUUGUAUAAGACUACCAAGAAACACCCUGCGUGACCCU